rnacentral:rRNA from 1 species
AGUGAACGCUGGCGGCAGGCCUAACACAUGCAAGUCGAGCGGCAGCGCGGGGGCAACCCUGGCGGCGAGCGGCGGACGGGUGAGGAAUUCGUCGGAAUCUGCCUUUUUGUGGGGGAUAACGUAGGGAAACUUACGCUAAUACCGCAUACGUCCUACGGGAGAAAGUGGGGGACCGCAAGGCCUCACGCAGAAAGAUGAGCCGACGACCGAUUAGCUAGUUGGUGGGGUAAAGGCCCACCAAGGCGACGAUCGCUAGCUGGUCUGAGGGGAUGAUCAGCCACACGGGGACUGGGACACGGCCCAGACUCCGACGGGAGGCAGCAGUGGGGAAUAUUGGACAAGGGGCGCAAGCCUGAUCCAGCCAUGCGGCGUGUGUGAAGAAGGCCUUCGGGUUGUAAAGCACUUUUGUCCGGAAAGAAAUCCCUGGAGCUAAUACCUUCGGGGGAUGACGGUACCGGAAGAAUAAGCACCGGCUAACUCCGU